AACGAACGCUGGCGGCAUGCCUAACACAUGCAAGUCGAACGAAACCUUCGGGUCUAGUGUCGCACGGGUGCGUAACGCGUGGGAACCUGCCCUUAUGUUCGGAAUAACUCCCCGAAAGGGGUGCUAAUACCGGAUAAUGUCUUCGGACCAAAGAUUUAUCGCCUUUGGAUGGGCCCGCGUUGGAUUAGCUAGUUGGUAGGGUAAAAGCCUACCAAGGCGACGAUCCAUAGCUGGUCUGAGAGGAUGAUCAGCCACACUGGGACUGAGACACGGCCCAGACUCCUACGCGAGGCAGCAGUGGGGAAUAUUGGACCAUGGGCGAAAGCCUGAUCCAGCAAUGCCGCGUGAGUGAUGAAGGCAUUAGGGUUGUAAAGCUCUUUUACCCGGGAUGAUAAUGACAGUACCGGGAGAAUAAGCUCCGGCUAACUCCGUG
rnacentral:rRNA from 1 species